ACAAAAGCUUCGGCGGCGUAAAUAUAUUGAAAAUAUUGAAAAUUACCAUUAAAUUGACUAAUUCAAGAAUUGAAAACCCAAGUAAAACAAUAAAAAGUCAUGGUGGAUGCCGCAGCAUGCGAAUUACCUUACAAAAACAGGGCAGCCGCUGGCGAGGUUUGCUGCUUGGUAGGAGAGUUGAAUGGCACGCAAAUAAGCGAACUGUGUGGAACGAUGCACUUUGCUGGUCCACAUGGGAUACCCAUGCAUCAAUGUGCAGUUCGAGGAGUCCGAGAAGGAGAGCGACAUAGAGCAAAAAAUGCACAUUAAUUACAGAUAAUUUAGCCAAUGAAGAAGCUGGCAGCAAUGCGAAGAAAGAACGCAACCAUCAGCCCCUGGAAGUCGAUGUCUAAUCCACCAGAGUUGUUUAAGCUAGUUUCACAAGGAUGCUAACGUUGCGCAGAACAAGUUGGUCUAUGCGUUCAAGAUCCUCAAAGUAGGUCUACGAAAAUCAAUUUUUACUGUUGCUGGGCCAUGCUUGCUUUGACUUCAACUUUGCCUGCUCCCAAAUUGGGCGAUACGAAGCAGACACUGGGCUUGUGUGAAUGUUUUGAGCUCGAAUGUGUGGCUGUGGAUGUGGCACUGAGAAGGCAAUCGAACCCGUUUUCGUUUUCAUGGAGCUGAAGGAUGAGGAUUGUACGCGUCAGCUGCAGCACUCCAAUACACAGAUGGCCGAUGGGGUCCGUUACUGCAAUCGGUAACAUUCCAACGCAGAAGAUCGAAGAAGGCUGGCGGGUCGUUCUUCCGGGCAAACCUGACUUUUCUUUGUAAGACAUGCGACUCUUACGAUCAGGAUUACAUGUUCUUCAUCAAAGUGGACGAUCUCCAAUAUAAGAAUGAGAGCACAUCGGAUUAGGUUAAGAUUAGCAUAACAAAUGUAUCCACCAAUUUUGCAAACAUGAAGUGAACCAAGUUUUGUCGAAUAAUA